rnacentral:rRNA from 1 species
UUGGAAACGGGUGGUAAUGCUGGAUGCUCCAACUUGACNCAUGUCUUGUUGGGAAAGUGUUUAGUGGCAUGGGAUGGGGUCGCGUCCUAUCAGCUUGUAGGCGGGGUAAUGGCCCACCUAGGCUUCGACGGGUAGCCGGCCUGAGAGGGUGGACGGCCACAAGGGGACUGAGAUACGGCCCUUACUCCUACGGGAGGCAGCAGCG